rnacentral:lncRNA from 1 species
AAGGAGCUUACACGCAGGGAGGGCAUGGACUGGAACUCCCAAUACCCCUGACAUGGGCUGAGUCAACGUGGUCACGAACAUGUGACAGGAGGCAGCAGAAGUUGCAGAGAAGAGUGAGGCACGUUUGAAAAAGGCUGAAAAAUGUUUCUGUCCAGGCAAGGGUGUGUGCUGAACGACUCAAGGAUUUUUUGGUGCAUUGAAUGAACAGCGUGACAUUGGACACCUGCUGAUCCAUCACCCCGGGGCCCGGGCAGGCACGUGGAUGAAGAGAGAUGGAGAAGACCAGGCACGAGACUGUGGAGAGCCACACCACCAGAAACCCCUGCCCGAUGCACCGUCCAGCCCACACCUGUGGAUGCACGGGGACUUGCAGGCAGGGCUCCCACCGUGGACUCAGGAACAGGCAGGGAAGCUGCUGCCUCACCAGGCGAAGGGGCCAGGAGGGGGAGGCGGAGAGGCCCGUCUAGCCCCUGCGGCUGUCACCGUGGUGCCUCCUCACUGGCCAGUGCGGCCGCGCCUCAGCUUCGUUAAUAGGGGAGGGGGCCUAAGAGUUUUCACAUCCAGGCUCGGGCAGUGGGGAGGCAGGCAGGAGUGGCCGCUGGUUUUUCAGACCUCCCAGGGAGGCCGAGGAAAUGGCCCGUCCUGGAGUGGGCGUGGUUCUGUCUUCAGAUGGAUGCUGGAGGGUUGGGCUGCGCGGGACGCUGGGCCCUGCUGCUUCCAGGAGGAUACGCUGUCCGGGGCUGCACAGGUUGGCUGUGUUUUUUGGAUGCUUGAUAUUUUGUUUUUUCUUCUCUUCACUCUGUCAUGAAACUGGCAAUAGUAGUUUGUAAAUAAAUAUGUGUUAUAGGUGAAUAUUUGCUAUGAGUAAAUUAAUAAAGGAGUGAAUAGAUGAGCAAUUGAUGUAGGGCCUGUCCUGUCUCAGCGAGCCCCACGAAGGCCUGCGCGCCGGCCAGAGCCUGCCUGCCUGCCAGGGUACUGGGACGCCACUCUCAAAGCGGUGGGACCCAGCCGCUGAUCCUGCUGAGGAGGCCCGGUCUCAGAAAACUGAGCGGCUGCUUCUGCAGACCCUGCAUCCUCCCCUCCCUGGAGAAAGAAGCUCUGGCUGAGUCCUG